rnacentral:rRNA from 1 species
UACAGAGGUCCCAAGCGUUGUUCGGAAUUACUGGGCGUAAAGGGCGCGUAGGCGGCCUGCUAAGUCGAACGUGAAAUCCCUGGGCUCAACCCAGGAACUGCGUCCGAUACUGGUUGGCUUGAAUCCGGGAGAGGGAUGCGGAAUUCCAGGUGUAGCGGUGAAAUGCGUAGAUAUCUGGAGGAACACCGGUGGCGAAGGCGGCAUCCUGGACCGGCAUUGACGCUGAGGCGCGAAAGCCAGGGGAGCAAACGGG